rnacentral:lncRNA from 1 species
GGGCAUGCUUGGUUGAAUUAUUUUACACAGUUACCGGUAAUUCAGAAAAUUUUAUGUUUCAGAUGAAAUUAUAUCUGCUGUGGUUUCCAUAUUAUUUCAGUUGUCAAGUAUGUUCAGAUGUACUCAGCUUGGUAGGUUAGUCAAGCAAGGUCAACUGAAACAAUUCUAUACAUAGAUAUAGGAAAAUGUGGUGUGAGUGACAAUGAGACAACUCUCCAU